GCCAGAAUGGGCCCAUAUUUUACAGCAUAGCUGAGCACUGACUCACUCUGUAACCCAGGGUUAUAUCGUUUAACCUCAUGGGGCUUGCUGUCCAUCCAGCUGGAAAAUUUGAAGGGUGAAGCUCGCUGGCCUGAGAACUGAAGAUCCAGCCCAGAGAAGAGCUGGCCUAUGUACCUGGCAGAUCUGAGAUCAAGCUUAUGAGCCAUAGCGAAUUUUAUCUCAGAGAACUAAGAGGACCCAGAAAUGAAAUUAUGUACACUAGAC